rnacentral:sRNA from 1 species
AUCGAUUAAUAUUGUAUUACCUCAAGCUCAUCUUUUUUCAUCGUGGCAAGACCACACCAUGCCGUGUACAUGAACAAAUCCUCCCAAGUAAAGAGGUCAAAAGAGUUUUUUGACCACUUGGCAUAGCAUUUGACCAAAUGCGCAAACUGCGAAAACAAUAAAUAUUGAUGAAUAUAAGUUAUACCAAACAUAAUUAUAAACAAAACAUAAAUAUAUCUAUAUGAGUUUACGUACCAAAACAGCGGCUGUGUAAUAGUGGCCUAAAGCCAUGUUGGCUAAGCCUCGUCCACAUAAGGAUUUAUAAUGGAUUGCUUUCCUGUCAUCAGCGUCAUCAAGCUUGGGUGCGUUUGUAGAUAGUUCAAUCGAAAGAAUGCGCGCAUCCUCGAACCUUCGGCAAUGGAAUGCCGAGAUCACAAGCAAAAUACACACGGGAAGCCUAAUCAACGUACCAUAAGCGUCCUCUAGAUGUCCAGAAUUGUAUUGAUAUCGACCAAGUUGGUCCAUGUUAAGUCGGUGCACAUCAAGUACAUUUGGUCCAUGUUAAGUCGGUGAGAAUUAAUUUCCAAAUCAAAAUUUCAGUACUCUACACGAGUUAGAUUAUAAAAUGAUGCUCUUUCUUGAUCGGUUUUGAGAAUCAGUCUUUUGGUAAUUUGAUAUAGCUAAUGACUUGUUAAGCUCAUGAUCAACACUUAAACCCAUGGAAGAAAUGUUGAUGGGAACUAAAAGCCAAAUUUAUCUACAAAAACAAAACCAUCUAAAGAGGAUUAGUUGUUGAUAUAUAGAUAAUUUGAGUACGAUUUUUCAAACCUUUCUAAGUCCAAAACACUUGAAUAUAAAAAGAAAACUUGUAAACACUCUUGUUCCACGAGAGACAAGCAAAUAAUGUAGCCUUACAAAAAAGACAAAACUAGAUAGUUUUAAAGCAAACAUUUUCCACCGAUAGUGGGGAAAAACCAACGAGCAUCCUGAAUAGUAUUGGCAAUGAAGCAGUAAGAUGUUCAAACACUUGGAUCACCUUUUUGGUCCCAAUAUGGUAGAUGAAAAUACUGUUACCGUUAUCACCGCAUAGACUAAUCCCACUGUACUUAUGAAAAUGAUCAUUACUAAAUAUAUGCAAUUUUUCAUAACUCCAUCUUUUGCUGCAACAAUUAUUCCAAGAUCCAAAAUCAAUGCUUCGUCCCCUAUAGAUUUGAUUAUGCUCCAUUUUGAUGACUUAGGAUCCAACUUGUAGACGAAGAAUAAGAACGUCCCAGGAUGUGGUUCCACUCUGCUAGCAAUGACCAAAACUUCU